rnacentral:rRNA from 1 species
AUUGAACGCUGGCGGCAGGCCUAACACAUGCAAGUCGAACGAGUGGCGGACGGGUGAGUAAUGUCUGGGAAACUGCCUGAAGGAGGGGGAUAACUACUGGAAACGGUAGAUAAUAACGCAUACCAGCGGAGGUGCCCAGAAGGGAUUAGCUAGUAGGUGGGGUAACGGCUCACCUAGGCGACGAUCCCUAGCUGGUCUGAGAGGAGGACCAGCGACACUGAAACAGAUACACGGUGGAGAAACAGACGGGAGGCAGGAGUGGGGAAUAGUGCACAAGGGGAGCAAGCCUGAUGCAGCCAUGCCGCGUGUAUAAAGAAGGCAUUCGGGAUGUAAAGUACUUUCAGCGGGGAGGCGUAACCCGCAGAAGAAGCACCGGCUAACUCCGUGCCAGCCGCCGCGGUAAUUC